AGAGUUUGAUCCUGGCUCAGAACGAACGCUGGCGGCAGGCCUAACACAUGCAAGUCGAGCGCUUCCCUUUCGGGGAGGAGCGGCGGACGGGUUAGUAACGCGUGGGAAUAUACCCUUCACUAUGAAUAGCCUCGGGAAACUGAGAGUAAUACCAUAUACGCCCUUCGGGGGAAAGAUUUAUCGGUGAAGGAUUAGCCCGCGUUAGAUUAGAUAGUUGGUGGGGUAAUGGCCUACCAAGUCUACGAUCUAUAGCUGGUUUGAGAGGAUGAUCAGCAACACUGGGACUGAGACACGGCCCAGACUCCUACGGGAGGCAGCAGUGGGGAAUCUUAGACAAUGGGCGCAAGCCUGAUCUAGCCAUGCCGCGUGAGUGAUGAAGGCCUUAGGGUCGUAAAGCUCUUUCGCCAGAGAUGAUAAUGACAGUAUCUGGUAAAGAAACCCCGGCUAACUCCGUGCCAGCAGCCGCGGUAAUACGGAGGGGGUUAGCGUUGUUCGGAAUUACUGGGCGUAAAGCGUACGUAGGCGGAUUAGUCAGUUAGAGGUGAAAUCCCAGGGCUCAACCCUGGAACUGCCUUUAAUACUGCUAGUCUUGAGUUCGAGAGAGGUGAGUGGAAUUCCGAGUGUAGAGGUGAAAUUCGUAGAUAUUCGGAGGAACACCAGUGGCGAAGGCGGCUCACUGGCUCGAUACUGACGCUGAGGUACGAAAGUGUGGGGAGCAAACAGGAUUAGAUACCCUGGUAGUCCACACCGUAAACGAUGAAUGCCAGUCGUCGGGUAGCAUGCUAUUCGGUGACACACCUAACGGAUUAAGCAUUCCGCCUGGGGAGUACGGUCGCAAGAUUAAAACUCAAAGGAAUUGACGGG
rnacentral:rRNA from 1 species